UCACUAAUAAUUUUUAAAUAUUACCAUUGAUUAUUAGUCCAUGUGAAUUGAAUGGUGCAGGGAAUAGUGGUUGGUUUCAGGGGUAAUGGGUGAUUUAAUUUCAUGGUGAGUACACUUUAGAGGUCCAUUGUUUGCCUCUGAUUUUACCCCGUUAUUACUUGUCAUUAAGCUACACAUUGGAAGGUUUGCAAGUAACAAUUACAAAUGAAGACAAAUGGUAACAUAAGGUUAUCAAUCUUUGUGGAAGUAGUCUUGGCAGGAAGAGUAGCCAUCAAGAUGAUGCCAUUGAACUUGGAAAUGAAUUAGAUCAUGUUCUUGUUAACAUGCCUGCUUGGCUGCUAUCCAAACGCUUUUGAGGAAUAGUUUGAUGAAGGAUCUACACAAAUAUGCAGAUCUGAUGAAGGAAUUAUCUGAUGAGGACUUGUUUAUAUGCUUGUUUGUUGCUGUCCAUAUUACACAUUAUCACUAAUGCCUUGAGCUGGCUGUGGAAACCUAUGGAUGGGAGACAAAGAAGAGGCAAAAAGUUGCAUAAUGAAGAAUGACAUAGAGAUGUUCAUGUACUUGUACUGUAAAGAAGAAUAAAAAAAAUGCAUACCAAUGAGAUAAGUUGUUGUAUCACGUAUAACCUGCAUCGUCAAUUGUAAGAGUAUGUAAAUGUAAAUUUAUCAAACAUCAUGAAAAUCCACAGAACAACAUGAAGUAAAAGGAAGCAUAAAUUAGACAAAAAAAAUGCAUAAAUUUACCUGGCUUGCAAAAUGUAUGAGAGAGAGAGAAAGAGAAAGGCAAGGCAAGAGGCAUAAAUUAGACCAACAUGAGUGAAUGUGAUGGCAAGGCAAGGCUUUAAAUACUACUUGAGGGAAGAGAAAGAGCCUUGGGGAGAAAGGGCCUUGGAGCGUGAGAGAGAGAAAGGGCCUUGGAGUAGCACACAGCACUACA